GAAAUCUUAACAAAUCAGAAACCCUAGUUGAUCCCUUGAGCCUUCGGUGCCGCUCCACGUCAACGAGUGCAUUGCCUGAGGCCUGUCUCUCCCCUUUCACUGAAAUGGCAAGGCGCGGCUCCCCAGCACCAUUGACCUUGCCAUGAAUACCUACAAAGAAGAAGACAGAGAACAAAAAACAAAAAUGACAGGAAAAAGCAAGAAAAAGAACCAAAUAUUCUAUAAUAUAUUGCUAUAAAAGUCAUAACAAUGGCAUGUAAUUUUUUACAGACACACAAGGAGUCAAAUACAAAAAAAGAAAAGUGACAAGUUUUAAAGGUAGUUCAUUUAUACUUUUUUUUUUGAAAAAUAAAUAAAUAAAAGAUAGGAAUUUUUUUAUUUACUUGAACACUGCCUCAUAUUCCACCGUCGUGAGUGGACGAGGACACCGUCUCCGAUAAAGGACGGCUCCCUCCUAGCAUGAAAAACCUCCAAAUCAUCCCUGGUUUGUUUGAGACCGCUGGGGUGUGGAGGUACCCAUCAAAAAUUACAGAGAAACCAAAAGGCUUCUAGGGUUUUUCUUAUUUUCUAUCAAGUUUUAAGAAAUAUCAAUCCUAGAUUUGGGUUCUGGGAGUUAAAACGAUCGAAAGGGACAUCGCUUCAUGGAUUUCGGCCACUGGGGAUGGCGGACCCCGUCGUCGACAACUGGUUGCCGCCAUGGGGGCUCG
rnacentral:lncRNA from 1 species